CCUACGGGUGGCAGCAGUGGGGAAUAUUGCGCAAUGGGCGAAGGCCUGACGCAGCGACGCCGCGUGAGGGAUGAAGGUCUUCGGAUCGUAAACCUCUGUCAGCAGGGAAGAACGGUCACGGUGCUAAUCAGCAGUGAAUGGACGGUACCUGCAAAGGAAGCACCGGCUAACUCCGUGCCAGCAGCCGCGGUAAUACGGAGGGUGCGAGCGUUAAUCGGAAUUACUGGGCGUACAGCGCUCGUAGGCGGUAUGUCAAGUCAAGGGUGAAAGCCCCGCGCUCAACGUGGGAACUGCCUUUGAAACUGGCAAACUGGAGUGUGUGAGAGGCUAGUGGAAUUCCAGGUGUAGGCGU
rnacentral:rRNA from 1 species